AUAACUCAGAACAGGCUGCCAGCUGUGUUUCCUCAGCUGCAGUGCAAGUGGGGCAUGCUCCGUUGAGACUUUAUUCACUCUGGGCAGUUUGUUGAAGAUUAGGUGGUCAGCUCACAAUGAAUCAUAAGCUGCUUUUGUCCCUUGCUGUCUAUGCUUAGAAGCUAAAAGGUUAAGCAGCGAUGUCAGCGCUAUCAGGGAGCUGUGGAGACUGGAAUUGAAGUUCAGAACCUUUCAUGGGAGACAGCUCAGAUGUAUUUCUGUGCAAAACUUGUCUCCAAGGAAGACUCUAAUCUUCUAAACUCUGGAUUUAUAUGAUUUCUCAAUAUGCUAUAUCAACCUCAUUUUGCUAAUAAUGAUACAGGACGGAGGCAGCAAAGUUCUGGAUAGAGAAGGAUGGGGUCCCUGGUGAGGGCUCCACCCUCAGGCCUGUGCCCAUGGACCUAAGUAUGGACAAGCACUCCUGUUUUUGCACCCAAAUGUUGCAUUUUCCAAGACCACUCUGACCCAACACAUGCUCCAUCCUGUGCUUAUAAAAAUCCCGAGACCCUAACAGGCACACACAGAAGUGGCUGGACGUUGAGAGGAGCAGAAGAGCACACUGACAGACACCAGCAAAUGCUCGCAGGCCAUCGAGGGCAGGAUGAGGAUGACUUGGAAUUUGGCAGGGGAUGAUUAGAGGAGAGUCUGGCCACUGGGCAGCCAACUCCACAUUCCCACUUAAUCCUCCUUCUGUUCUCCCCAUCCAUCUUGCUGAGAGCUACCUCCGCUCAAUAAAAUCUUGCACCCACCCUCAAAGCCUAUGUGUGAUCCAAUUUUUCCGGUACAUGAAGGCAAGAACCCAGGAUACAGAAAGCCCUCUGUCCUUGUUGAGCUAAUUAACAAAAGCCACUUGCAGAUGGCAAAACUGAAAGUGCACACUGUAACACAUGCCCACUGGGGCCUCAGGAGCUGUAAACACUCAAGCCUAGAUACUACCAUGGGAUUGGAGCCCAAAAUGCUUUCCACAGCCUCCCUGACUGCAUGCUCCCCACCCGCUUGGGGUUUGAGCAGAGGGGCACCAAAGAAGCCAGUCACACCCCUGUUGCAGUCCCUAUGAAGGGGAUAAAGGAACUUUUCUUGUUUCAACUGGGGGCUUGUCCGGAAUCCCCAAAGGCCAUCAAACUCCAAACAGACAGGCAACUGGUGCCUCAGACGAUGGCUCUCCUUUGCCAGGAACCCUUAGAUAGACCUCUGGGAGGAAUCUGACUGCCAUUUUCCCCAAAACAAGACCCCCCUGUCAGCAGGAAAUAGCUAAGACCGGUUGUCCUCCAUAUUCUAACAGCAGUUAGAUAUGUCUCUUCAGAGGAGAGAAAUGAUACAGGAGAGGGGCAGGGAAGUGCUGGAUAGAGAAGGGCAGGGUCCCUGGCAAGGGCUCCACCCUUGGACAUGUGCCCAUGGACCUAAGUGAGGACAGACACUCCUGUUUUUGUGCCCAAAUGUUGCAUUUUUCAAGACCGCUCUGGCCCACCAGGGAUCCUCCCACCCCUAAUUCUGUGCCUAUAAAAAUCCUGAGACCCUAGUGGGCACACACACAAGUGGUUAGAUGUCAAAAGGAGCAGAGGAGCAAAAGGGCAGAUGCCAGCAGACGCUGGCAGUCUAUCGUCCAUCGACAGUGGGAAAAUAUGGAAGUCAGCCGGGGGAUGGUCGGUGGAGAGUUCGGCUGCUGGGCAGCUGACCCCAAGGGAGGACCACCUUCCCACUUCUUCCCCCUUCUUGCCUCCCCAUCCACCUCACUGAGAGGUACCUCUACUCCAUAGAACCUGCACCCAUCUUCCAAGCCCACGUGUGAUCUGAUUUUUCUGGUACACUAGAGCACGGAAAGCCCUCUGUCCUUGUGAUAAGGCAGAACAUCCAAUUGAGCUGAUUAACACAAGCUGCCUGCAGAAGGCAAAACAAAGAGCACACUGUAACCGCAUGCCGACUGGGGCUUCGGGAGCUGUAAACACAACCCUAGACGCUGCCUUGGGGCCAGAACCCAAACGUUCCCCACAACAUGCCCGACUGCAUGCUCCCCCUAGGAGUUUGAGCAGAGGGGCACUGAAGAAGCGAGUCACACCCCUGUUGCACACCCUUCCAGGGGAAAAAAAGAGCUUUUCCCAUCUCAAUAAAACUAGUACAUACAAUUCUCAUACCUAUAUCUCAUUCCACUUCCACCUUUAACAUCUCUCAUUCUAAUACUUAGUUGCUCUUUGAACUCCAUCAUGAAGUCUUAUUCAACUAAACCAUCAAGUUUAUCAUAUCCUCCACUGUUUGAUUUUCAUUUCACAACACAGGAUGACUUGGGUAUUUAUCUAAAAUGCAGAUUCAUGGUCUUUGCCCCAGUAAAUUUUUAUCCGAGAGAUUUUGAGUAGGGGUUGUGAUCUAUAUUUUUAAAAACCUCCCCGGGUGAGACAGAAACAUAUUCAAAGACAGUGCUUAGUUUCCCCCUCCACUCCGCUCAGUUAAUUUUCUUGUUUUUGGAGAUCCAGCCUUGAAUGAAUUCCCCAAGAGUGGGACCAACCCAGACGUUUAGGAUAGUCUCCCAAAUGCACAGGGUUUGUCUGCAUCAAUUACAAAGAAGCCUAGACUGCUUGACAUAUGUUUAUAUGUCCCACCAUAACAUUUUGGAUCAACAGUGUUCAAAAUAUAUUCUAUUUCAGACCUUUGAUGUCUAUCCUUUUGCCUUUCUCUUGUGAAGUCCUGCUGGUAGGACAUAAAGCCUAGGGCAUCCCAUCACCUGCCUGAGCCUAGUGGCCUGUUCCUGUCUUGGUCCCAUGUUGCUACAUCCUGCCCAGAAUUAAGAGAUUUUCCUAAGCUAAUAGACCAAAUGAGAUAUGUCUCAAUAAGACUGUAUGUGAGAACUCCAAUUUCUCCAAAAGAGAAUUUUCAAUUAGUUCAUGUUGUACCAUGUUGGAAAGUCAGUUACAUUACAAAAUUCCCUAGCUCUUCAAAGCCAAUUUGAAUGAUUCUUGUAUACUUAGUUUUGAGAUUCUUUCUAGAAUAAUUUCCCCAAAUGAUGAGUUUAUCAUUGGAUCCACCAACAAUGUUAGAUUGCUCAUUAAUUCUCUUGUGCCUUCUAAGUCAUUUUGAAGAUCUAGUGUUUUUCAGGUGUCGCCUCUUCUUUUUAUUCUUUUAAGUCAUUUCUAGGACUCAGAUGUUUUCCUCAAGAAGAUGCAUUGUUUUAGUAAAGUUCAGUUUGAAUCCUUCUUACUACAUUUUUAUUUAAUCCCCCACUAUGUUGUUUUUCUUCUUGAGAUAUUUUAUUUGCUGUCAGUAGGCAUUCUAAGCAGAGGUUUAGCUGAUAAUUAGCCAUUUCUUUAGUGACACAUCUCACUUGACAAAGAGGGUUAAAAAAGAUGAUUUCCUUGGAUUGUACUUUUUAGUUGUGAUGAUAUAUUCCAUUAUUUACUAUGUAAACUGAUACACCUUAGCUCAGCACUAGGUUUUGUAUCAUCAAACUAAAAAAACAAAUUUAAUAGUUUUUUCUCCUCUUUGAACCAAAACUUAAGAAGUUUGUGGAAAUGUGAAAAGCUAGAAUAACAAAUAUGCAAUUAAGCACAAUCCUCUGAGAAAUAGAAAAUAGCAAUAAUUGUUUAGAUUAUAAGAUUCGGGGUUCAAUGUUCCAUAAAACAAAGGUAUUAUUUAGAUUUAUUUUUGUUUCCUUACAACUAAGCUUAACACAGGCUUUUAUAGAAAUUUAAAAAUAUUUAUAUAAAAGGACAAGGGACUAUUAAGAAGGAAGAUAAAUAUUUCAUGUAGAACUACUACAUCAGCUUUCUUGAAAUAAUUAACUGGUAAGUUCAAUUUACCCUCAAAUCAAUUAAGAUUCAAUAACAGUUUCAACCUUUUCCCCUUUUGGUUGAAGUUUGACCAAAUUGAUUUUGUUAUUUUGACAGACUAUGGUCAUAAUCAAACCACUCGAAAUCCUUUGUGGCAUCAUAAAGGGACUCUUUCAGAAUAUUAAGAAAAGCAUCCAUAGCAUUAUUAUACUUUUUGUCCACACAUUAUUUGACAUGCCAUCUUUUUCACAUGAAUAUGUAAAAUGAUGUAAUCCUAAUUAGGUUCAUCAUACAAAUUUUUAAUAGUGAAAAGGCAUGACAAAAUGAGGCCUCUCUAAAGUUAUUUAUGAAUUGCAAAUUUGAGGAUUAUAUUUGAGAAACAGUUCUUUAUGAUCAUUACAGCCAAGCUACUCCAGAUUUUUCAUGGAAGUUAUUUUAACAAUAAAAAAAGACUGAUAUAAUUUAAGAUCUCAGUGAGGUGAGGCAUGGGUGGAUCAGUAACAACAGACAUUAUAUAGAUUAUAUACCAAGUUGAAAUUGAAGGUUCAUGAAGUAUAGUUUCAUCUUUUUCAUUGAUCAUCCUAGCAAAUACAUAUGCAUUUACCCCUGUUAAUUCAUGCACAUACUCUCAACCACUUCUGUUAUUAAUAUUUAAUACAUGUGUGGGCCAUCUGCCUUCCCUUCCUACCUCUAACACUACCAUACAUUGCAGGUUGCCUUUCUUACAUGCAUGCGGCUAUCCAGUCACACAUCCAAAAUCUUUUUACUCACCCUCCCCGAACAACUGGCAGCUCAAAACAUCCUCAAGAAAUGUGACUUGGGAGAGAGAAUGCACCUCUGUUUACAGGUUAGCAAGUUUAUUUAAACAGAUAUUUCUGAAGUUCAAGCUGGGUUGUGAACUCUAGAUGGAUCCUGAUGGAUAUAUCUUAGUGAUUCCAGGGACUCCUUCACCUUGGGGUGGAAUGCAAUUAGAGUGAAACAAAGUGGGACUCUAAUGCACAGGGCCUAGAUUAGGGUCCUCAAAUGCCUGAUGUAGUGGAUAUUUAUAUCUGUCUAAUAUAUUGCAGUAUGUGGAGCAACACAAGGUGGCCACUUUUAGUAAAAGAAAGAAUACUAGCCGGGCGCGGUAGCUCACACCUGUAAUCCCAGCACUUUGGGAGGCCAAGGUGGGUGGAUCACGAGGUCAGGAGAUCGGAGACCAUCCUGGCUAACACGGUGAAACCCCGUCUCUACUGAAAAUACAAAAAAUUAGACAGGUAUGGUGGCGGGUGCCUGUAAUCCCAGCUACUUGAGACGCUGAGGCAGGAGAAUGGCAUGAACCUGGGAGGCGGAGCUUGCAGUGAGCGGAGAUCGCGCCACUGCACUCCAUUCAGCCUGCGCGACAGAGCGAGACUCCGUCUCAAAACAAACAAACAAACAAACAAACAAACAAAAGAAUAUUUCCUAUAUGAAUGGCUCUGUUGAUUGAAUGGCUCUGAGAAUUGUUAUUUUUAGAGAGUUUUUUAACCGUAAUCUUGAAAAGCCUGCUAACUCUCCCCUUCUUUGGCAAUCUGGAAAACCUGCUGCUUAAAAUGAUAUUGUCCAGACUUAGCCUAUUAGACAUCAAGGAAAAGUCCCAAAAUAGAAGACGGUUCCCAGCUGAUAAAGAAUGAUCUUUGGCUGUCCUGACAGUGCAUUCAAAAGCUUCAUAUCUUUUAAUAAAGAGUUCUAUUGAAACUCUUUUUUGGAUCACACUCUUGUUUGGAGACUUAAACCAAAAAACAAAGGUGCACAAAUUUUGUUCCAUAGUCUACCAGCAAUUUUUCCAAAGUUUUAAUUUUAAUUUUUUAAGUAGUCUAGUGGCAUAAACCUGUCAUUUAGCUUUUUAAUAUUAAUGCAGGCAUAUAGAACCAAACAGAACUUACAGUCCAAUCUUGGCUCAACUUACCAGUUUUGACAUUAGGGACUGAGACUUAAUUCCUUUAUCUGAAAAUCAGAAAUAAAGUAUCUAGUUCUUAUGGUUGUUCAUAAAAUUAAAUGAAAAAAUGUAUAUUUUCUUUCUUCUAUAAAAUAAGCACUCAAUAAAUGGCAGUAUUAUCACCACCUCCAUGGUUUCUAGCACUGGUAAAGGAUUAGAGCAUUGCCAUUGGACCAUUAAUUGAUAUCAUUAUCUUCAUUGCUUGAAUAAUUUCUAUGUGUAAAAACUAUUUAGUCAAAUCAUUAUUAAUAAAAUUGCCAAGGGCAUACUUAACCUACACUAUGCCAAUCCUAAGUACUAAAAUACAUGUUCUUUUUAGAAGACUCCCUCUUUAAGAAAUGGCAUCAUGUCAGAAUUAAGCUUUUGAUAUUCAAUUUUUAAGUCUCUUUACCAGAUAAUACUAGAGUUUUUUCUCCUUCUUUCCUCUCAUAGCAUGAGGAAUUUUCCCACAUACCUUUUUUGGAUAAGUAGGGCCAUAACCAAGGCAAGGGUGAGGAUUUCUGAGAAUCAGUAUCACUUUUGGUAAAGGCAUAACGUGUCUAAAGGUUUCACUAUGUGAAGAUGAGGAGAAAGUUGUGACAUACUGUCUUAAGGGAAAGCUCAAUUAGAUGCAAGGUAGACUUUCUUAACAAGUUUUCAACUUAACAGAAGUAAUGAUCCUUUAAAUUUGUUUUUAAUACAGUAAGAUCUCUGUGGCAGCAAUGCCCGUAAUUUGAAUGUGCUAAAGGUAUUUCAGUCUUAUUUAAUUAUAAUAAAGUAAAUGGUCAAAAGAAUUAAAGUAACUGAUGGUUGUUGAUCACAGGUUUUGGUUCUCUACAUGCUUGCAGAAGAUUGGUCUCUAAAUUCAGCUUAGUCCUUGCAAGAAUUAAUAAAUCAUAUGUAAUGAAGCUAUAAUCAGACAGACCAUGCUCAUGAACACCAGUACAUUGCUUUAGAAGCUUAGAUUAACAACAAAAAUUUGCCCAAAGAUACCUUGUAGAAAAAAACAAUAAGGGAUUAAAAAGAGAGUCAAAGUUCCAAGCCUAUUUUUAAAGCACUAGGUAUUGUAGAGAUCUGUGGGCAACUAUGGAUGCUGCAAAAUGUCUAAAAUUAUUAAAAUACUGAUUCGUAAUCACAGAAAAACAGAUAUGUUUCAAAUGUUAAUCUAUGUCAAGAUACAGAAAUAAAAACCCAGACCCUCAGAAGACUUUUAAGAGCUUGGAUUAGAAUGGUUACAACUUAAUAGAAACACAAAAUGGACAGCUGAUCAACAAAAUGAUUUCAUGGCCCAGCUCUAAGAUAAUCAAGACAGACUGAAGGAGUGUGCAGCAGCAGUGUAUUAUGUGUAGAAUCAUCAGGAAGUAGAAUGUGUAUUUCUUCAAAAUGUGGAUAGAAUAAUGAGAUUUAUUUUCUACAGCAAUGUAGGGUAAGGUUAGAGAAAAUGCUUUGGAGCCAAACCAAUCUAGAUUUGAAGCAUCAUUCUUCCAUCGUUCCAAAUUGCCUUGGGCAAAUUACUUACUUGUGCAAUAAGGUUACUUUCCAGAAUUUUUGUGCAUUUAAAUGAGAUUCCAUAUAUAAAGUGCUUAGCUCACAUGUGGUGCACAGUAAGCAAUAAACAAAUAAUAUGUUUUUCUAAUAGUUAUUAUUACUAUUUUUCUUCUGGUUAUGGCAAGGGUAACAAUGGGGGUUUUAUAUAUGUACUUUGCAUAGGACCUUUAGGAAAUUAGAGCAAGUCUCCAGGAAUUUUACUUUCCAAAAGACUUUAAGACUUCCAAGGAAGGAUGUUAUUAAGAGAAAAAGGACUGACAGAUACACAGGUCAUAAACUUCUAAGAUUAAUGUUUCAAAACAUAAUGAAACAAAACUGUAAACAAA
rnacentral:lncRNA from 10 species